UAUGUGAUCGUAGCAACAGCAAAGAUUGCCAGAAGAACAGCGAAUAGGGUGUAAGCAAAGAGAACGAGGAAGAGCUGGGGGUCGGGUCGGGUUAGGUUUCGGGUCGGAUCAAACGGGUUAGGGAGGGUUAAGAAGGAGGAGGAGAGGUGAGCUUGCGGGUGGAAGAUGAUGGAAUUGGACUGAGAGAGGGCGGUUUGGAGGGUAGGGUAAACGAUGAGGGAGAAAGAGAGAGGUAAGAGGAAGGAAACAGAAAGGGCUAAGAAAUGGCGGGAGUGAGCAUUGAUUAUGCGCUUUGAUUGGGAAAGUACUCCCCACAGGUUAAGGGUAUGUGGAUAAGCGGACAUUGAAUAAGAAUGGUGAUGAUUGAUGAUCGAGAGAUGAAUCCAGAAGGAAACCAGACGGAGGAUAAGAGAGUGUUUUGGGAUGGUUUCUAAAUUGGGAGAGAAAUGCAAUUUGGGGUCUU
rnacentral:lncRNA from 1 species